ACUGAGAUGAACUUCGCUGCGAAAUCGACAGCUCCAAAGACCAGCUGGAUCAAGAAGAUAUUGACACCGAAAUUCUGCAGGUCCAUGGCCAACCCAUAAUAGGCAAAGCUGGUGGAGAACCUGGGAUGAAGCAGACAGGUGGGAUUUACCGAAGUCUAGCUACAACAUACUGAAUUGUGAUCUAGUGGGAUAUUCAAUCAAGGUGAAAUUGACUGUCACUGACAUGCCAUGGGAUGAAGUGGAGCGUCAGUGCGGCUUAGUAGAGGUCAAAAAAUCCAUAAUUUGCCCUGUUCCUCAGCAAAUUGUCGUGCCUGGUUUACUUGCUGCCGGUCUACUUAUCAUAAUCUCAGCUUCCUCUUUCUGUGAACACAAGAGCCGACUAACCAUACAAAGCAGAGGC